rnacentral:rRNA from 1 species
AGAGUUUGAUCCUGGCUCAGGAUGAACGCUAGCGGCAGGCUUAACACAUGCAAGUCGAGGGGUAACGGGGUGCUUGCACCGCCGACGACCGGCGCACGGGUGCGUAACGCGUAUACAAUCUACCUUGUAGAGGGGAAUAGCCCAGAGAAAUUUGGAUUAAUGCCCCAUAGUAUUAUUAGAUAGCAUUAUUUGAUAAUUAAACAUUUAUGGCUACAAGAUGAGUAUGCGUUCUAUUAGUUAGUAGGUAAGGUAACGGCUUACCUAGACUUCGAUAGAUAGGGGUCCUGAGAGGGAGAUCCCCCACACUGGUACUGAGACACGGACCAGACUCCUACGGGAGGCAGCAGUGAGGAAUAUUGGACAAUGGGCGAGAGCCUGAUCCAGCCAUGCCGCGUGCAGGAAGACGGCCCUAUGGGUUGUAAACUGCUUUUAUAGAGGAAGAAACACUCCUACGUGUAGGAGCUUGACGGUACUCUACGAAUAAGGAUCGGCUAACUCCGUGCCAGCAGCCGCGGUAAUACGGAGGAUCCAAGCGUUAUCCGGAAUCAUUGGGUUUAAAGGGUCCGUAGGCGGGACAAUCAGUCAGCGGUGAAAGUCUGUGGCUCAACCAUAGAAUUGCCAUUGAUACUGUUGUUCUUGAAUACUUAUGAAGUGGUUGGAAUAUGUAGUGUAGCGGUGAAAUGCAUAGAUAUUACAUAGAACACCGAUUGCGAAGGCAGAUCACUAAUAAGUCAUUGACGCUGAUGGACGAAAGCGUAGGUAGCGAACAGGAUUAGAUACCCUGGUAGUCUACGCCGUAAACGAUGGUUACUAGCUGUUCGGAAGCAAUUCUGAGUGGCUAAGCGAAAGUGAUAAGUACCCCC